GAUAGAUCGAAGUCGCAGUACACUUGUAGGUAUCAUUCUGCCCUGAAAUUUGACAUUUAGAAAAUGUGACAUAUGCUUGAUUUGAGAUUUUGGUAAUGAUUUAGUUGGAGGUAUGCAAUAUAGAUGAAUAAUGUAGAUGAAUGAUAGAAUUGUUGGCAAUGAUUUAGUUGGAGGCAUGCAAUGUAGAUGAAUAAUCUAGAUGAAUGGUUAGACCUAUUCGCUGGCAACACAAUGGUAUUGUUCAAAAAUCUAAAUUCAUGUUUGCUCACUUGUUGUGUAGGUGUGAUGUCAGCGAUCGGGCAUGAAUAUAAGCGGCGUAUGGGCUAUAUGCAGUACCCAAUUGAGUCAGAUGAGGUUGUUCCCGUACCUUCAGCCGUUCCGAUCCCAGAUUGUAGAUGUGGCGUGCCAACCGAGGUGCAACAAUUAAGGCACCCAAAAAUCGCCGGAAGAGCCUACUAUGUGUGCAAGUGAAAGUUUGAUCCUAUGCCUGCAAGCCUUUGUUAUUUUUUUGGAUACAUGGAUCCGAGAAAUAUGAUCCUAGGAUCCGCCUAUUCCCAUACGAUAGGACGAAGCUUGAACCUUACCAGCAGUUCAGGGGUUGGGUUCCUCCUCCACCAAACCCACCUCCAAUGACCGAAGAGGAGAAGCAGGAGACUGCCUACAGGCGUGUGAGGGAUCAUCCCUUGUGCAAGUGUGUAGUUGCUCUAAGCUUAUGCAUCCUAACAUAGGGGUUCCACCUAAGUUCAUUCCAUUUUUCCGAUGUUCGCUAAAGGCACAUGACGGAUUGCCACUAUGUGAUUUCAAUGAGUACAUCCAUGAGCCUAAGCCGUUGUGGCCAACGGAGGAGCAAGUACGGGAGUUCGAGACUGGAAAGGCACCAUGGCUAUAUGGGUCAUUUCCUAGUGAUAGAUGCAAGUAUGGUAUAUUGGCUACGCAAGGUGUGGUGCCCUCCGAGCUUGGCUAUGGUUGGUUCUGUGGCAAUGCAUAUGAAGGAAAGGACAUGCGAUUGGGAAGACUUGUACGGUCGCCAUGAUCUAAUGUUAAAGUUGGGUCAUACACCGAAACCAUGGAAGUCAACAGAAACUAAAGCUUUGAGAGAUAAGAUUAGGUCUAAGUAUGAUGUGCCUAUACCUGAUAGUGACUUGCUAUAUGGGAAAUUAUACCAAGACAUGAUUCGCGAGACUGGGGUGGAGCCUAAAGGACUUUAUGCAUCGGAAACUCUUAUUAAGUAUUGGAGACGUAACAGAAUCAAGUAUCCAUGACCUCUAACUAAAGGUGAGAGGAUAGAAAAGAGGAGGAAGUUGGAGGAGGAGAGUGAGUUGGAGAAAUAGAGGUUGAGGGAGGAGCAAGCUCGCACAGAUUUUGUGGUUGAUCAAAAUGCAAAAUAGCCUAAGCGUUCAUGGGAAGAAUAUUUUCAGUAGGUUGAGGCAAGGAAGAGGAGGAUUCAAAUGGAAGAGCUAGAAGAAAGGGCAGAGGAGGCGCGGAUGGAGGUGAUGAAGGCACUUGUUGCUGACUUACCUAUUGGCAUGGCCUUUGGCAAGGGUGACAAGUGCAAAGAUGGAAAAGAAGAGAUGGCAAAGGAGGCACAGAUGGAGGCGGUCAAGGCACUUGUGAGAGAGUUGCCUCACGAUAAUGCUAAUGUCGACAAGAAAGGGAAGGGAGUUGUUAUUGUAGGGGAUGAUGAUGAUGAUGAUGAUGAGUUGCUAUGUGAAGGUGACUCCGACUAGAUGAAUGUGUUCAUUGAGUUAGUAUUUGUGUGUCGUUAGUUGUGAUUACUAUGUUUAUUUGUGAGAAUUAUGUUUAUUGUUGAGAACUAUGUAUCCAUGUGAUCUAGUCUGCCCUGUAUUUGUCUUGCA